GAUGAACGCUGGCGGCGUGCCUAAUACAUGCAAGUCGAACGCACAGCGAAAGGUGCUUGCACCUUUCAAGUGAGUGGCGAACGGGUGAGUAACAAGUGGACAACCUGCCUCAAGGCUGGGGAUCACAAUUGGAAACAGAUGCUAAAACCGAAUAAAACUUAGUGUCGCAUGACAAAAAGUAAAAAGGCGCUCCGGCGACACAUAGAGAUGGAUCCGCGGGGAAUUAGUUAGUUGUUGGGGUAAAGGCCUACCAAGACAAUGAUGCAUAGCCGAGUUGAGAGACUGAUCGGCCACAUUGGGACUGAGACACGGCCCAAACUCCUACGGGAGGCUGCAGUAGGGAAUCUUCCACAAUUGGCGAAAGCCUCAUGGAGCAACGCCGCUUGUGUGAUGAAGGCUUUCGGGUCGUAAAGCACUGUUGUAUGGGAAGAACAGCUAGAAUAGUAAAUGAUUUUAGUUUGACGGUACCAUACCAGAAAGGGACGGCUAAAUACGUGCCAGCCGCCGCCGUAA
rnacentral:rRNA from 1 species